rnacentral:rRNA from 1 species
GUUAGGAAUAUUGGACAAUGGGCGCAAGCCUGAUCCAGCCAUGCCGCGUGAGUGAUGAAGGCCUUCGGGUUGUAAAGCUCUUUAGUCCACGAAUAUAAUGACUGUAGUGGAAGAAUAAGCCCCGGCUAACUUCGUGCCAGCAGCCGCGGUAAUACGAAGGGGGCGAGCGUUAUUCGGAAUCACUGGGCGUAAAGCGUGCGUAGGCUGUUUUGUAAGUCAGAAGUGAAAGCCCAGGGCUUAACCCUGGAAUUGCUUUUGAAACUACAAGACUCGAAUUCGGGAGAGGAUAGCGGAAUUGUCAGUGUAGCAGUGAAAUGCGUAGAUAUUGACAGGAACACCAGUGGCGCAAGCGGCUAUCUGGACCGAUAUUGACGCUGAGGCACGAAAGCGUGGGGAGCAAACAGGAUUAGAUACCCUGGUAGUCC